rnacentral:rRNA from 1 species
UACGUAGGGUGCGAGCGUUAAUCGGAAUUACUGGGCGUAAAGCGUGCGCAGGCGGUUUUGUAAGCCCGAUGUGAAAUCCCCGGGCUUAACCUGGGAAUGGCAUUUGGGACUGCAAGGCUCGAGUGCGGCAGAGGAGACUGGAAUUCCUGGUGUAGCAGUGAAAUGCGUAGAUAUCAGAAGGAACGCCGGUGGCGAAAGCGACUCUCUGGCUCGUAUCUGACGCUGAGGCGCGAAAGCUUGGGUAGCAAACGGG